GAUCCGUUCUAAAGGAUUCAUUCUAAACUCUUUCUUUCAGAGAGCAUACUCUGCUCUGAUUGGUCAGAUGACCCAGUCUGUUGUGAUUGGUCUACCGACCAGAGCUGGGGCUUUUUGUUACAAACCUAAGUAGGUUAGUACAGGAAGUAAAUCUGGAAUUACUAACGACUCGUUUCACCUGUUCAGAAUCGAUUCCUUCUUUUGGGAGUUAUUGACUCCGUUUGUCGUGCACUUUUGAUUUUUCAAACUUUGCAGACUUUUUACAAUCACAAACAGCUCUAACACACACUACAGUACAUGAAAGGUAAUGUUUGAAAACCCAUAAUAUGUGCACUUUAAAAUAACAUUUCAGUCAAAAACACAAUGUUGCAUUGAUCCUAACGUCCCACAAACCUCAAAACGUUUGCUCUUUUUAAUUCACAUCACUUGCAGCUUAAAUAAACUUAGAUAUUCUGUAUUAUUAAAGCAUGCAACAUAUAAAUAAUUAAAACUCCAGUCAGCAAUAACAAAAUAAGAAAACUUUUGUAUUAAUUCAAGGUUCUGUAUUUUAUUAAAUCAUCUUUAAUAUUAACAAAAUAAAAAGUUUCAAAAUAUAACAACCCUCAAAAGUGUUUCAUUUCUUACAUACAGUAGAUCUAUAGUGUGUGUCGUCUGCUCUGCUCCUACAAGUGACACCUUUUAGAAAUUGCACAUUAAACCCACAUACAAUAAAAGAGACAUUCAAGUCCUCACAAAUAAUUCAAACUGUAAUCCUAUUUUCAUAUUCUUAUCCAAAAAUCAUCUAUUGUACAGGCAACAGUGUGUACAUUUGUAUAUAUCUCUUUUCUAUCCAUGUAAUAGUGUGUUACGAUUUUACCGAUUAAGACAAAAUGGUUUAUCCAUAAUAUUCGUGGCAGAAUCUUAAAUUAUUAUAAAUUAUAAAUUACUUGUCAGCUGGGUUUUUUCUCCGGGCUUUGCCUAAAUGGGUUCAAUUAAAUGUUGAAAAAAAAAAUCUACUCAACUGUCUAGACAGAUACAAAUCAACACUGUCAAUCAAGUCCCUGGUGCAUAAUACAUAUAAUGCACCUUGCCACUUGUAGGGAAUAGGAAAUUGAGUAAGGAGUAGUGUGUAGGGAAGAGUAUGUAAAGAAUAGUAGUAGGGAAUGGAGUAACGAGUAGGGAAGAGUAAAUAAGGAAUAUUAAGUUAGGUAUAGUAGUAAGGAAUGGUGAGUAGGGAUUAGUGAGUAAGGAAUAGGGAGUAGGGCAGAGUAAGUAAGGAACAGUAGUAGGGAUAGUGAGUAAGGAAUAGUGAGCAGGGAAGAGUGAGUAAGUAAGUAAUUAGUGAGUAGGAAAUAGUGAGUAGGGUGUAAUGAAGAGUAAGUAAGGAAUAGUCAGUAGGAUUAGGAAAAUAGGGAACAGUGAGUAGGGAAGAGUAAAUAAGGAAUAGCGAUUAGGAAAUAGUGAGCUGGGAAUACUGUAGAGUAAGGAAUAGUGAGUAGAAAACUGAGUAUGGUAGGCGGUAGGGAAGGGUAAUAGGGGCGUGGGGAAUAGUGAGUAAGGAGUAGGGAAUAUUGAGUAGGGGUGGGGAAUACUGAGUAAGGAGUAGGGAAUAUUGUGUAGGGAGUAGGGAAUAUUGAGUGGGGAAUAGUGAGUAAGAAGUAGGGCGUGGGAAUAGUGAGUAAGG
ensembl:lncRNA